UUUGACAGAUUUAAAUUUAAUUUAGAGCUGUCAACCUCGUGACUUUAGCUGCCAGUCGCGAGCCUAUUGUUUAAAUUUAUAGCGUGCACUAAAAUUCAGAGUCUUCAAAUGUAAAAUUCAUGUUCUGUCCCUUUUCAAGAAUAUUAAAAGGAGGAGGACGCAGAUACUCUAAAUUUAGUUUAGAGAAAGACAACAGAAUCGGUACCAAUGUCGGGAAUGUAAUAGAUAUAAAGAUUACGCAAUAUACCUACCGUUGCUAGUAGAAAAUUUUGCUACACGUACACCCAAUCAUUCACAUUAUAAUUUCAUAAAAAAUUUACGAACAUCUAACAAUUAUUAUUGAUACACGGUUAAAAUUAUCUAUUAAAAUAUUCAUCUCUUUUACAUAAUAACAUCGACUUUUAGAAAUUUAUUUAUUGCAGAAGUAUCGAAAGUAUUAUUAAACAGCCAACGACAUGCAAAGCCCUAUUAUACAACAAUUAAUAGGUAUAUAAUAAAAUAGGUAAUUAAUUGAUAAAUAAUAGUUAAUGAUAAGUUUAAAGAAGUCGCUGUUUUCUGCAGGUACAUUUAGAAAGAGAUUGGGUUUUCAUUUGUGUCUACAAUGGGCAAAAGAGACCUUUAACAACAUCAAUUAACAAUUACAGUCUCUGUAUCCAAUUUGUACUACAUGUACCUAUUUUUCUAGCGUUUGCUAGAAAUAACGGAACCGAAAAGCAAUUUAUAAAUUAAAACUUCCAAACCACAUACGGAUGUCCUAUUUAUAAUAUUCAGCUGAUAUCAUAUAAAUAACGACCGUAAUAAUCAUCCACAAAUCCAAUGGUCACUUAUCCCGUACUGUAGGUACCAGGUCUAUCAGGCUGUCAUAAAAUAUAGAAAGUGUAUUCCUAUACCUAACGUUCAAAAUAUAAUCACCUGGUACAUAGUAACUAAAUAUGAAACACUAGAACGUACACUUUGAUUGAAUCCAAUUGAACAUUUUUUGCAUCACCAAUACUAAGUGAUGCCUUUGUAUAUUUCGAUUUGAUAAAAUCUUUUAGAUAGAAGUUUUAGAUUGCUUCUUUACAUAAAGCUUAUACUCUAACUACUUUUUUAAUCAUACCUUUUGGAUAAAUUUAUUACAAUGAUUACAAUAUAAUAUAUACCAAACCACACUUAAUAUUAACAUACUCGUAAAAAUGUCUUCUGUCAUAUUGAGAUUAGUUUUUAAAAUAUUGAGUAAAUUAAUUGCUGU